rnacentral:rRNA from 1 species
UACGGGGGGGGCAAGCGUUGUUCGGAAUUACUGGGCGUAAAGGGCGCGUAGGCGGCCUACUAAGUCGGACGUGAAAUCCCUCGGCUCAACCGAGGAACUGCGUCCGAUACUGGCGAGGCUUGAAUUCGGGAGAGGGAUGUGGAAUUCCAGGUGUAGCGGUGAAAUGCGUAGAUAUCAGGAGGAACACCGGUGGCGAAAGCGCUCAUCUGGCCCAAUACUGACGCUGAGGCGCGAAAGCUAGGGGAGCAAACGGG